rnacentral:miRNA from 1 species
UAUAUAUAUGUUAUUUACCGGCUGCGAGGUCCGGAUGAGAAAAACUGUGCCCGAGGUCUUGAAAACGGCCCGAACCCGAAGGGCACAGUUUUUCUCAUCCGGACCGACGCUGCCGGUAAAUAACGUGUUUAUU